UGGGGAAUAUUGCACAAUGGGCGCAAGCCUGAUGCAGCCAUGCCGCGUGUAUGAAGAAGGCCUUCGGGUUGUAAAGUACUUUCAGCGAGGAGGAAGGCGUUGUGGUUAAUAACCGCAACGAUUGACGUUACUCGCAGAAGAAGCACCGGCUAACUCCGUGCCAGCAGCCGCGGUAAUACGGAGGGUGCAAGCGUUAAUCGGAAUUACUGGGCGUAAAGCGCACGCAGGCGGGCUGUCAAGUCGGAUGUGAAAUCCCCGGGCUCAACCUGGGAACUGCAUCCGAAACUGGCAGGCUAGAGUCUUGUAGAGGGGGGUAGAAUUCCAGGUGUAGCGGUGAAAUGCGUAGAGAUCUGGAGGAAUACCGGUGGCGAAGGCGGCCCCCUGGACAAAGACUGACGCUCAGGUGCGAAAGCGUGGGGAGCAAACA
rnacentral:rRNA from 1 species